GACGAACGCUGGCGGCGCGCUUAACACAUGCAAGUCGAACGGAAAGGCCUGCUUUCCCUUGUGGAUUGCGGGUACUCGAGUGGCGAACGGGUGAGUAACACGUGAGUGAUCUGCCCCCAACUUGGGUAUAAGCCUGGGAAACUGGGUCUAAUUCCCGAUAGGACUGCAGGGUGGUGCCUGUGGUGGAAAACGAUUUUCUAGUGGGUGGGGAUGAGCUCGCGGCCUAUCAGCUUGUUGGUGGGGUAAUGGCCUACCAAGGCGGCGACGGGUAGCCGGCCUGAGAGUGUGGACGGCCACAUUGGGACUGAGAUACGGCCCAGACUCCUACGGGAGGCAGCAGUGGGGAAUAUUGCACAAUGGGCGGAAGCCUGAUGCAGCGACGCCGCGUGGGGGAUGACGGCCUUCGGGUUGUAAACUCCUUUCGACCGCGAGGAAGCCACCUGGUUGGAAGGGUGGUGACGGUAGUGGUAGAAGAAGCACCGGCUAACUACGUG
rnacentral:rRNA from 1 species